rnacentral:rRNA from 1 species
AGAGUUUGAUUCUGGCUCAGGAUGAACGCUGGCGGCGUGCCUAACACAUGCAAGUCGAGCGAUUCUCUUCGGAGAAGAGCGGCGGACGGGUGAGUAACGCGUGGGUAACCUGCCUCAUACACAUGGAUAACAUACCGAAAGGUAUGCUAAUACAGGAUAACAUAAGAGAUUCACAUGGAUUUCUUAUCAAAGCUCCGGCGGUAUGAGAUGGACCCGCGUCUGAUUAGCUAGUUGGUAAGGUAACGGCUUACCAAGGCGACGAUCAGUAGCCGACCUGAGAGGGUGAUCGGCCACAUUGGAACUGAGACACGGUCCAAACUCCUACGGGAGGCAGCAGUGGGGAAUAUUGCACAAUGGGCGAAAGCCUGAUGCAGCAACGCCGCGUGAGUGAUGAAGGCCUUCGGGUCGUAAAACUCUGUCCUCAAGGAAGAUAAUGACGGUACUUGAGGAGGAAGCCCCGGCUAACUACGUGCCAGCCGCCGC